rnacentral:lncRNA from 1 species
GAAAAGAAAGGAAAGGAAUUGAAAUUCUCCCAAAAGAUGGCUGGGCUGGGCUGAGCUUCUGCAAACAGAAAAGUUGGUGGCAUACACUCUAGUUGGACUAAAGCAUAUGUUUUGGGGUUUUUUGGGGGGGGGCUGUCUGCUCCGAACUUAUAUUCCAGUAAUACAUGUUUAGUUCAUCUCUACUGGAAAGGAGCUUCUAGAAGAAGUUAAUUAUCUUUGCUGCUAGAAGGCAUCAUCAUUUUUUUAAGGAUGAAUAUUUUGAAGUUUUAUUGCCUCAAGCUGAAUAUUUCAAGGACACAAUCCCAUUAUAUCCAGUUGUAUCCCUUCUAUUAAAGAAUUAUAUCAUAGUUCUCAGAACCAUAAAGACUCUCCAGCUUACAAAUCAUUACUUCAGAGUCCUGCACCCACACAUAUCUGGAUGGGAGAUGAGGCAAACACCUACCCAUCCAUCCAUCCAUCCAUCCAUCCAUCCAUCCAUCCAUCCAUCCAUCCAUGUUGAUUCUGUGUCUUCUAGAAAAAUUGUCAUAGGAUAGAAAACAGAAAACACAUAGAACAGAAUUGCUCAUUGGACUAUUAACAUGCCUAUUUUGAAUGCAGGUACUAUACUAGAUGUUAUCUUAUACAAAACACUGACUAUACCUCAGAAAACCAGUGUACAAAUACACUUUUCAUGAGUGUGACUCAUAUCCUAUCAAAGACUAAAUUUGAAGAAAAUAGAACACCACCACCCCUUGUCAGAGUACAAAGUUCAGAGUAGAAAGUUGCAAGAUCUAAAAACUAGUGUGGUGGGUAAUCAUUACAUCCCACUUUCCCCUCAAGAAUAGAUGUGUGCACCACACUUUUUACAUGGAAAUAUUUUACUGAAGGUUAUCCUCCAUAGAUUUGGCAGUGUGUGUGUGUGAGAGGGGGGGGGAAGGCAAUCAACUUGCAGGGAAUUGCACAAUCAAAGUGACACUGGACUUUAAAAAAAAUAAUACUUUAUGGAUGCAUCAUGUUAUGAGGAAAUCAAUUUUCCAUGAAAUUCAGCUGCUGAAAGUUAAUAGGGAAGCGUAUUGUGCAAGCAAUUUUGGAAGAACCUGGAGAUGCAAAUGAGCAAUAGGAAUACUGAUCAUAUUUGC